rnacentral:rRNA from 1 species
ACCCGCACAAGCAGCGGAGCGUGUGGUUUAAUUCGUUGCUACACGAAGAACCUUACCUGGGUUUUGACAUAUAGGUUGUAGGGAACUGAAAGGGACCGACCCUUCGGGGAGCCUAUACAGGUGUUGCAUGGCUGUCGUCAGCUCGUGUCGUGAGAUGUUCGGUUAAGUCCGCUAACGAGCGCAACCCUCGUCGUAUGUUAUAUGUGUCAUACGAGACUGCCGGUAAAAGCCGGAGGAAGGUGAGGAUGAUGUCAAGUCAGCAUGACCUUUAUAUCCAGGGCUACACACACGCUACAAUGGUCUGUACAAUGGGUAGCCAAGCCGCGAGGCGGAGCCAAUCCUGAAAGCAGGCCUCAGUUCAGAUUGCAGUCUGCAACUCGACUGCAUGAAGCCGGAGUUGCUAGUAACCGCAGGUCAGCAAUACUGCGGUGAAUACGUUCCCGGGUCUU